rnacentral:miRNA from 1 species
ACUGUAUAUAUGUAAGUGACA